ensembl:lncRNA
AUGAGUGGGAGAGGAGUAUGCUUUUCGAUGAUAGUUUUGGAGAAGAUGGGCCUGUCUGGUAAAGUGACACCAGCCCAAGCAAAGAAAAAGUGGGACAAUUUAAAAAAGAAAUAUAAAGUAUGUCCAUAUAUAGAAAAUAAUAUUUUUGUUAGUAACAGUUAAAAAAAAUCCUAGGUUUAAGCUUACAUGUUUUGUGAACAGUUUAGAUUUUUACUUGUCUUUAGGAAUGCAAGUAUCCAGGGUCAGGAGAGGGAGUGAGUGGGAAGCCCACUGCUGCUACUUGGCCCUGGUUUGUCCAAAUGGAUGAGGUUUUAGGACAAAGGCCUUCAAUUUGCCCCCCUGUCCUUAUUGCCUCCAUCCCUAUGGACACUCCAGGGCCAAGUGCAGCAGUGAGUGACCA